rnacentral:rRNA from 1 species
UCGAACGCGAAAGAGUUCUUCGGAACUUGAGUAGAGUGGCGCACGGGUGAGUAACGCGUAAAUAAUCUACCCUGAUGUUUGGGAUAACCAGCCGAAAGGCUGACUAAUACCGGAUACAUGAUUAGCUGUUGGGCUAAUCAGGAAAGGUGGCCUCUUCUUGAAAGCUUCCGCAUUGGGAUGAGUUUGCGUACCAUUAGCUAGUUGGUGGGGUAAAGGCUCACCAAGGCAACGAUGGUUAGCGGGUCUGAGAGGAUGAUCCGUCACACUGGCACUGGAACACGGGCCAGACUCCUACGGGAGGCAGCAGUGAGGAAUAUUGCGCAAUGGGGGAAACCCUGACGCAGCGACGCCGCGUGAGUGAGGAAGGCCUUCGGGUCGUAAAGCUCUGUCAGCAGGGAAGAAGUGUUAUACGGUUAAUACCCGUAUAAUUUGACGGUACCUGCAAAGGAAGCACCGGCUAACUCCGUGCCAGCAGCCGCGGUAAUACGGAGGGUGCAAGCGUUGUUCCGGAAUCACUGGGCGUAAAGGGCGCGCNGCGGUCUUAUUAGUCANAUGUGAAAGCCCANNNNUAACCGUGGAAGUGCAUNUGAAACUGUAANACUUGAGUAUCNNAGGG